AGCAGCCGCCAUCUUGGCCGGUGGUGAGGAGCCGUCCCCGAUGAUGAAGACCUCUGUCUUCAGAUGCGGGCAUUUCUGAGGAGACCUACCUGCCUUGCACCCAGCAGUGUGAACAGAGUCAUCAUCUUUGGAAGAAGUUGUCACAUUGCGAUCCAGAUCUAUGAGCGGACCUGUCUUUGGUGGCAGUGGUGUCUUAUCUCCCGUGAGUUAGCAUCAGAUGAAGCUUGCUGACAGCAUAAUGGCAGGGAAAACCUCCGACGGCUCCAUCAAAUGGCAGCUCUGCUACGACAUCUCGGCCAGAACUUGGUGGAUGGUUACGGGGCUGCGCUGACCUGGAGCCAUGUGUCACAGAUCCCACUGAGCCUGGCUCAGACUGCUUUGGGGCGCAAUUAAAGUUUCAAUAAAGUCCCAACGUGCUCCGUAGAACGAGUUAACUAGCAUGUCAUGGUCAGCCGGGCCAGACAACCUUUGACAUCUUGAAUCUAUAAGAGGUAGGGUGAGUUGGGAGGAUGCACAAUAGCCCAUUGUGGCAGAAGAUGCAAGUCCUGUUGCGAGGAAGAGAGUCCUCAAAUCAUUACUGCCCUCGUUAGCGUGUUGUCCGUUAGGGAUUAAUUCGUUAGCAGCGCAUUUUUAGUUUUCUGUAAUUAUUAUUCUUGUGGCAAGCGUGAAUUCUUCCAGUGAGAGGAAAAGUUUGCUGCCAGGACAAUGAAUGUAUUAUCCGCUCCUAACUGGACCGUGAACCUCAGCUCGUUUCACAUAGAUAUCAGUUAAAAAAGGACCGGCGAGUGGAAUUACAAAACAAGGCAUGAUCACUUUCAUUGUAUGAUACGCUGAAACAAGCCGGGUCUCUCCCUCCCCCUCGCCGCCCCGGACCAAUUUUGGUAUCAUUUGGAAAGUUUAAGACCUCUGAGGACUUGAAAGACUUUUAAAAGUGAGAUCCGGAAGGUUUUUAUUCUGCAGCUUGGUGGUGGCCAUUGUGUAUAUCAUGUGGCUUGUAUUUAAAGGUGUUUGGGCUCGGGUUUGUCAGUUUUGUUUUGUCUAAAGUCUUAAUUUUUUAACCGGCUAUUAGAGGUUUGCCAGCGGUUGCCAGAGAAUUGUAACAUGCAGCUUUUGGUUAACAGAGAUAGGGGAGGCUAACCACUUUCUUAUAGUACUGAUUUUCCAAUUAGACUUUCUGCCAGGGGAAGUUGGAGGGGGAAGGGGUAUUUGCAUGCACAUAAACUGUUGACUAUUCAUGUGACUUUUUUUAGCUUGUUAAACCCCUGUAAAUAAGUCUAUUGAUUCUCAGUUAUCAUUUUCAAAGCAAAGUUUUAGACUGCCUGUUUUAACCCCACUGUUUAUCCCGUGCUGUGAUUUUGCCUUAUUCUAAGCCAUCUGUAUAUUUUAUUACCGCUCUUCUUUUAUUGUCUAUCGGCUGCUUUUAUGAUGAGGUACGUCAAUGUUUAUUAUUUAAUAAGUAUCCUCAAAUGCUACUAGGCAGUUAUUGUCGCCCUUAAGAAAGGACUCGAGGAAGUUUCAUUUUGGUCACAUUUAUUUCACAGAUGUUUUAGUACCGUGAAUAUAAUAUGUAAAAAUGCUGGAAACAUUUAGUAAUGCACUUGCCUAAAAAUAAACAGUUUUAUA
rnacentral:lncRNA from 7 species